AUCGGCUGUCGUCAGCUCGUGUCGUGAGAUGUUGGGUUAAGUCCCGUAACGAGCGCAACCCUUGUCCUUAGUUACCAGCACGUUAUGGUGGGCACUCUAAGGAGACUGCCGGUGACAAACCGGAGGAAGGUGGGGAUGACGUCAAGUCAUCACUGGCCCUUACGGCCUGGGCUACACACGUGCUACAAUGGUCGGUACAAAGGGUUGCCAAGCCGCGAGGUGGAGCUAAUCCCAUAAAACCGAUCGUAGUCCGGAUCGCAGUCUGCAACUCGACUGCGUGAAGUCGGAAUCGCUAGUAAUCGUGAAAUCAGAAUGUCACGGUGAAUACGUUCCCGGGCCUU
rnacentral:rRNA from 1 species